rnacentral:misc_RNA from 1 species
AGAGUAGGUAAAAGUAGUCUCCCUACAACAUAUGCAAAUUAGUUGAACAGUUCAGCAUGCACAAUUAUGGCAAAAUGUACUUAUAUAGGGGUAUUCAGACAUCCAACAGAAAUAAAUAUUUACUACCUAUUUCCCAACUAUGAAGGAAAACAUGCUCUAAAAUAUGGUCAUUUGCAAAAUUCACAAGUUCAAGAACUUAAAUUUAACCAAAAAGAUGGAAGAAAGGAAGUUGACUUCAAUUAUUUUGAGAUCGUGUGUGUGUGUGUGUGUGUGUA